rnacentral:rRNA from 1 species
GGUUAAGCGACUAAGCGUACACGGUGGAUGCCCUGGCAGUCAGAGGCGAUGAAGGACGUGCUAAUCUGCGAUAAGCGUCGGUGAGGUGAUAUGAACCGUUAUAACCGGCGAUUUCCGAAUGGGGAAACCCAGUGUGUUUCGACACACUAUCAUUAACUGAAUCCAUAGGUUAAUGAGGCGAACCGGGGGAACUGAAACAUCUAAGUACCCCGAGGAAAAGAAAUCAACCGAGAUUCCCCCAGUAGCGGCGAGCGAACGGGGAGGAGCCCAGAGCCUGAAUCAGUGUGUGUGUUAGUGGAAGCGUCUGGAAAGGCGUGCGAUACAGGGUGACAGCCCCGUACACAAAAAUGCACAUAUUGUGAGCUCGAUGAGUAGGGCGGGACACGUGGUAUCCUGUCUGAAUAUGGGGGGACCAUCCUCCAAGGCUAAAUACUCCUGACUGACCGAUAGUGAACCAGUACCGUGAGGGAAAGGCGAAAAGAACCCCGGCGAGGGGAGUGAAAAAGAACCUGAAACCGUGUACGUACAAGCAGUGGGAGCCUCUUAAUGGGGUGACUGCGUACCUUUUGUAUAAUGGGUCAGCGACUUAUAUUCUGUAGCAAGGUUAACCGAAUAGGGGAGCCGAAGGGAAACCGAGUCUUAACUGGGCGUUAAGUUGCAGGGUAUAGACCCGAAACCCGGUGAUCUAGCCAUGGGCAGGUUGAAGGUUGGGUAACACUAACUGGAGGACCGAACCGACUAAUGUUGAAAAAUUAGCGGAUGACUUGUGGCUGGGGGUGAAAGGCCAAUCAAACCGGGAGAUAGCUGGUUCUCCCCGAAAGCUAUUUAGGUAGCGCCUCGUGAAUUCAUCUCCGGGGGUAGAGCACUGUUUCGGCAAGGGGGUCAUCCCGACUUACCAACCCGAUGCAAACUGCGAAUACCGGAGAAUGUUAUCACGGGAGACACACGGCGGGUGCUAACGUCCGUCGUGAAGAGGGAAACAACCCAGACCGCCAGCUAAGGUCCCAAAGUCAUGGUUAAGUGGGAAACGAUGUGGGAAGGCCCAGACAGCCAGGAUGUUGGCUUAGAAGCAGCCAUCAUUUAAAGAAAGCGUAAUAGCUCACUGGUCGAGUCGGCCUGCGCGGAAGAUGUAACGGGGCUAAACCAUGCACCGAAGCUGCGGCAGCGACACUAUGUGUUGUUGGGUAGGGGAGCGUUCUGUAAGCCUGUGAAGGUGGCCUGUGAGGGUUGCUGGAGGUAUCAGAAGUGCGAAUGCUGACAUAAGUAACGAUAAAGCGGGUGAAAAGCCCGCUCGCCGGAAGACCAAGGGUUCCUGUCCAACGUUAAUCGGGGCAGGGUGAGUCGACCCCUAAGGCGAGGCCGAAAGGCGUAGUCGAUGGGAAACAGGUUAAUAUUCCUGUACUUGGUGUUACUGCGAAGGGGGGACGGAGAAGGCUAUGUUGGCCGGGCGACGGUUGUCCCGGUUUAAGCGUGUAGGCUGGUUUUCCAGGCAAAUCCGGAAAACCAAGGCUGAGGCGUGAUGACGAGGCACUACGGUGCUGAAGCGACAAAUGCCCUGCUUCCAGGAAAAGCCUCUAAGCAUCAGGUAACAUCAAAUCGUACCCCAAACCGACACAGGUGGUCAGGUAGAGAAUACCAAGGCGCUUGAGAGAACUCGGGUGAAGGAACUAGGCAAAAUGGUGCCGUAACUUCGGGAGAAGGCACGCUGAUAUGUAGGUGAAGCGACUUGCUCGUGGAGCUGAAAUCAGUCGAAGAUACCAGCUGGCUGCAACUGUUUAUUAAAAACACAGCACUGUGCAAACACGAAAGUGGACGUAUACGGUGUGACGCCUGCCCGGUGCCGGAAGGUUAAUUGAUGGGGUUAGCGGUAACGCGAAGCUCUUGAUCGAAGCCCCGGUAAACGGCGGCCGUAACUAUAACGGUCCUAAGGUAGCGAAAUUCCUUGUCGGGUAAGUUCCGACCUGCACGAAUGGCGUAAUGAUGGCCAGGCUGUCUCCACCCGAGACUCAGUGAAAUUGAACUCGCUGUGAAGAUGCAGUGUACCCGCGGCAAGACGGAAAGACCCCGUGAACCUUUACUAUAGCUUGACACUGAACAUUGAGCCUUGAUGUGUAGGAUAGGUGGGAGGCUUUGAAGUGUGGACGCCAGUCUGCAUGGAGCCGACCUUGAAAUACCACCCUUUAAUGUUUGAUGUUCUAACGUUGGCCCGUAAUCCGGGUUGCGGACAGUGUCUGGUGGGUAGUUUGACUGGGGCGGUCUCCUCCUAAAGAGUAACGGAGGAGCACGAAGGUUGGCUAAUCCUGGUCGGACAUCAGGAGGUUAGUGCAAUGGCAUAAGCCAGCUUGACUGCGAGCGUGACGGCGCGAGCAGGUGCGAAAGCAGGUCAUAGUGAUCCGGUGGUUCUGAAUGGAAGGGCCAUCGCUCAACGGAUAAAAGGUACUCCGGGGAUAACAGGCUGAUACCGCCCAAGAGUUCAUAUCGACGGCGGUGUUUGGCACCUCGAUGUCGGCUCAUCACAUCCUGGGGCUGAAGUAGGUCCCAAGGGUAUGGCUGUUCGCCAUUUAAAGUGGUACGCGAGCUGGGUUUAGAACGUCGUGAGACAGUUCGGUCCCUAUCUGCCGUGGGCGCUGGAGAACUGAGGGGGGCUGCUCCUAGUACGAGAGGACCGGAGUGGACGCAUCACUGGUGUUCGGGUUGUCAUGCCAAUGGCACUGCCCGGUAGCUAAAUGCGGAAGAGAUAAGUGCUGAAAGCAUCUAAGCACGAAACUUGCCCCGAGAUGAGUUCUCCCUGAGACUUAGAGUCUCCUGAAGGAACGUUGAAGACGACGACGUUGAUAGGCCGGGUGUGUAAGCGCAGCGAUGCGUUGAGCUAACCGGUACUAAUGAACCGUGAGGCUUAACCUU